rnacentral:rRNA from 1 species
GGCUCAGGAUGAACGCUAGCGGCAGGCUUAAUACAUGCAAGUCGUGGGGCAGCAGGCUUGUAGCAAUACAGAUGCUGGCGACCGGCAAACGGGUGCGGAACACGUACAGAACCUUCCUUUGAGCGGGGAAUAGCCCAGAGAAAUUUGGAUUAGUACCCCAUAGUAUAAUGAAGUGGCAUCACUUUAUUAUUAAAGAUUUAUCACUCGAAGAUGGCUGUGCGGCUGAUUAGGUAGUUGGCGGGGUAAAGGCCCACCAAGCCUGCGAUCAGUAACUGGUGUGAGAGCACGACCAGUCACACGGGCACUGAGACACGGGCCCGACUCCUACGGGAGGCAGCAGUAAGGAAUAUUGGUCAAUGGAGGCAACUCUGAACCAGCCAUGCCGCGUGGAGGAUGAAGGUCCUCUGGAUUGUAAACUUCUUUUAUAUGGGACGAAAAAGGCUUUUCUAAGUCGUCUGACGGUACCAUAUGAAUAAGCACCGGCUAACUCCGUG